rnacentral:rRNA from 1 species
UACGAAGGGGGCUAGCGUUGUUCGGAAUCACUGGGCGUAAAGCGCACGUAGGCGGAUCGUUAAGUCGGGGGUGAAAUCCCAGGGCUCAACCCUGGAACUGCCUUCGAUACUGGCGAUCUUCGAGUCCGGGAGAGGUGAGUGGAACUCCGAGUGUAGAGGUGAAAUUCGUAGAUAUUCGGAAGAACACCAAUGGCGAAGGCAGCUCGCUGGGACGGUACUGACGCUGAGGCGCGAAAGCGUGGGGAGCAAACAGG